CAGCUGGACCCCCAACUCUGUGAUGGUCACUUUGUCAUCCACCACUGUGAUAGUCUUCUCUGCCAGGAUUGAGUCUGACAAAGGAGACAACACCUAGGAGACACCCCGGGUUGGAGAGGUCUUUCCCAGGAGAAAUCAGCAACGAAAGCAACUAAAGCUGAACAGAGAAAGGAGCACUACCUAUAGAAACUCAAACUUCAUCAACAGAAAAGCUGAAAGCAGUAAUAAGUCACCACUGGUCACACCGCUUGAUUGACAAGUGAAGUGGAAUGCAAAAACAUCACAUCAAUGAGCACUUAGCAGUGAAGAUGUCACAGACUUGAAAAAGCAGAUUACCACAAGUUAUAGGUGAUUUAAGAAAAUGUCUUUGCAAGUGUUUCAUCUAACAUAAAAGGCUCACAAGCCCCUGCGCAAUAUGCAAAACGAUACACAAAACCUACUUUUUAUUUUAUCCGUUUUCUCAGGCUGUGUAGAUCAAACAACAGCUCUACUUGGCUGCCAUCCAACCCCCAUAUCUCCUGUAGGUAAGAAUCCAUUCCCUUUGAUUAAUACUGGUAAUCCAGAAGAGAAGCACACUUUAACCCCAAAACAGAGGCAGGAAGUCAUACUGUGUUUAUGAUGAAUGCCAUCCAAAGUACAGAGUGACUUUAUGCAUAUCCUUAUAAAGGUCUCCUCAUGCAUCAGUCUGCAUCGUGCGUGGCACAGGUAGUCACAGCCGUCAGACCUUUGCACUUGUCAUGUUUUCCGGUUUUUGCUUGUUUCAUCAAAGCUUGGGUUUUUUUUGCGAAUGUGAAGACACGUCUGCACACAGACAGAUGAGUCCUCAGAUGCCAGGGAACGGAUCCCACUCACACAGAUGUCAUUAGGAGACUGAUAUUCAUCCAGUUAGCCUAAAGAGCCCAACAAACAAAAGGCAGAGGGGGAGAACCCACUCACUGUCGCCAGCUGCUGAGAGCCCACAAUACAGGCUGUGACACACCAGCAAGCACCUGCCUGUACUAGACAAAAGGAGGUACUAGUCGAACCGUAGCAUCGACAGCGGCAUCUGUUAUUGUCCCUGGAAUACAUAAUAUGUUCAUGUUCCUACCGUGUAUUAUUCACCUUUCACAGGUUUGUUCUAGCAUGCAUUUAUGUUGACAAAAAGAUGCACAACAGUGAAGUUCAGAAUUGUGUACUACAUGGUGAUUUUAUUUAUGCAAGACAAUAUAUGGUUUCAAUAUUCAAGUAAUUGAAAUGUUUCCAAUUUGAUGAUACUAUAACAGUAAUAAAAUCGUUACCACAAUA